CCAGCAGGGAUUAAAUGAGCUCUCCCUCAAACGCUCUCUUUUAAAAUGCAAUCAUUGCUUGGCAACUACUGUCGCCAGCUACUGAACAACACAGCAUGAUCACAGUCACUGUCUUCGCCGAUGGCAGGUGCCGGAGGACAGAACACAGAAGCCCUGCUUCGGGAGAGCAGGUGCCGACCAAGAGCUGACCAUCUGCCACCCACUCCGCGGUUGUGGGCAGCCUGCUCGGAAGGCAGGGAUGGGGACAGAAGAAACAAGAAGUGCUCCUGGGUACGACGGGCCUGACUCUGUGAUGCUUCCAUAGUCCUCCUGACACCGCUGGGAGAAGUGCACUCACGUCCCCAAAGCAAUAGGAUCAUGAGGCCCUGAACAGUGACCUGGGUAAUCCCCUACGACCUCUCCUAAAUGCAUCCUGAUGAGGUCUGCAGGCCGUGACAGAACACAGAGCAGUCUUGCCGUGCAGGGUUCUCCAAAGUGCUAAAAAGUUCCAAUUCGCUCUCAGUGGUGGCGGAGGGAGGAGGACACACAAGGUCAGGGGCCACUAGCUACGUGUCUGCCUGGCAAUCACCCUCAACAGCCCUGCUUUGGUCUUAACAAUCAGCCCAGAGUGUUCGCUGUGCAGCGCGUGGUGAAGCCAGGAGGGGACACACCUUGCUAACAUGAACAGAAUAAACCGAGACAAAGCCCAGAUGGUCCCGGACACAGGUCAAGGCUCUGGCACCUGGCUCGAUGCUGAGAUGCUGUGUGUGGCUUCUGGGUGACGAUCCUGUUUGGGUUCCAUCUCAUUCCACCCCCUGGAAGAAGACUCACAGGAGCUUCUCCUUCUGUAAAGGAUGUGUUCUGAAACGUGUACGUGCGAUAGAUUUUUCUGGGAAGUCAGGUUCUAUUUAGAAUAUGUUGGCAUAUUUCCGUACAUGAAAACAAACUCAGGAUUCUGAGAAUCUUUUGGAAAAGGGAAAAUCGUCCUUUAGAUCUUUAGAAAAAGAUCUCUAAAAUCUUUAGACCAAGAUUAUUCAUGCCUCUUUUCAUCUUGAUUAUAUUCUCCAUCCUUAUCCAUUGGAUUUAUUCAGAGUAAGAUACAACCACAUACCAUAUGGGGUCUUCCCAAUGAAGUGACAACUGACACUUCAGAGGAGAUGUGUCAUGUAAAAAAAAAAAAAGAGUUUAAGUUAUUGAAAUAACUAAGUAAAAAUAUGCCAAAGGAUGACGGUUUAUCCUUCUCUCUGGCCAUUCUUUUUUCAUCUGUUUCUAGACAGCAUAAAUUGUACACCUGAUGCUUUCAAUGUAUCUUGCUAUCUUGAAAGGCUGAAUUUAUAACUAUAAACUGGCACAGUUCCUUGGUGGUUAACCUCACCGCUCUAUCAGCAGCUGGUCAUUCCAGAGCAAUGCCGUGUGGACUGCCGGCCCGGGUGUCCUCACUGAGUGCGUGUGCUUCAGGGCAGCGCCGACGCCCGUGGACUCAGAGCUGCACCUCCUCUCGCCCAGGCAAGCUUCCUCACCCGCAAUGCCCCACCGGAACCACCAGGAAAGGGCCAAGGAGCACGCGCUGCCGCCAGUGUGGGUCCUGACUCCACUUACAGGCGGGGGAGCUAAGAACAAGUUUUGUAGCCCAACUUCCCAUCUGGAAAAUGGGCCACCCACCCCUACCUCCAAGGCGUCAUGAGAAUGAGGGGAUAUUAAACAGACUAUGCCUUACAGGCAGAGCCCUAACAGAGGCCAGCACACCGCAGGCCCUCAUAGCCCACAGGGUCCGGCUGCUCUGCGCCACCCAGAACAGGCCUGCAGGGCAGCACCCCCAGAACUGCGGGGCACUGAACUGAGCACUUAGGGUCCACACGGCUACAUCCACUAAGGAAGCACAAGCAGCAGCAAAGUCAGAGUUCUGAAAAUCAGUCACUUGGGAGUGAGAACCCCAAAGAUGGUCUGAUUUGCCCAAGACCAGGCCACACCCUGAGGGGCCAACAUUGACUCCCUCAGACCAUGCCACACCCAGAGGAGCCAACCCCAUAUGGACAGGAAGUGUCCGACCUACUCUUUCUGAGAGCUAAUGUAAUAAUCCCGAGUAAAAGAUUUUACUUGGGUCCUAAACGUUUACAUCCUUCACAGUCUUCACAUGGCGGCAUUUAUUUUAUUUGUUUUGUCCUUAUUUUUAUCUCUGGAUGGGACUACGGGUAACAAUUUUUCUUCCUUCCUGCUCAUCUGUGUUUUCUUAUUUUCUAU